ensembl:ncRNA F11A6.12 ncRNA
AGAUUUCGAAAAAUAUUGAAUUUGAACAAAGUUAUGAGCUUUUAAAGUUGGUGGCCUAGAAAUUCAAAGUUAGGACACCAAUUUCAAAUG